GUUUUGCAAAAACCACUGAUUGGCGGAUCCGGCCUUGUCAAGUGAGAUUAUGACAGGUGGGUCCCCAUUUUGCAUACGUGGCGUAACGGCUCUAGUCAGACGACAUUAGAUAGGACACAGGGUCCACCUGUCGAUUGGGUCUUCUCCUCCAAUUCUUUUUUCUUCCUCUCACCAAAAAGUCCUUGUAGUCAAAACAAAAAUCAUCCACUUUCUCGUUUCCUUUCUCACUCCUCCGAGCGGCCGACGGGCGAGCUCUUCCUCACGGACAGCCUCCUCCGCCGCCGGUCAGAUCCUUCGCCGUUGAGCCCGAUUGCCACGGGAUCCACUGAGCCACGAACUCCCUCCUCGGAGCCAAGAUCGCCCGCCACGGUGUCCAGAUGAGCAGAGGGAUUUCGACGACGAGGGUGAGCCCCUGCAUGUGCACGUCGUCCUGCCGCAUCGUGGGAUUUUGGCGACGCCAUGGGCUCCUUGAGCAGAGGGCGCUUCCCCGCGGGCUCCUUGACGAUGCCCGCGCGACCACGGUGCCCGCCGGCCCCUGCGGCUCCUCUCCCCUCCGUCUACUCCUCCCUGUCGACCAGAUCGGCCCCGAGUCACAGCAACCCGGGCCACAACGCCACGGGCGAGCGCCAUGGAUGCCGCCGCCAUGCCCGCACAGCAACGCCACCUGCCGGUGACCAUCUCCCUGGCCAUCGCCCCAAGCAUCGCCGGCUUGCUGCGCCGCAGCCACUCCUCCAAGAUCCUGACGGCGCGCCCCCUCUCCGGCGACGAGACACAACGUCUGACCGCUUCUCUGCUCGCGUGCUUGGGCCGGCCAGAUCCAUGGAGCUGAUUGCUUUUUUAGUUUUGAUUGAAGGGGUGUACCUGUAAAAUUACAUGGACUGAUUUGUAAAUUUAGACAAAUCCAUCAUCAAACGCCGUCUGAGUGGAGCCGUUA